UGGGGAAUAUUGGACAAUGGGCGCAAGCCUGAUCCAGCCAUGCCGCGUGGAUGAUGAAGGCCCUAGGGUUGUAAAGUCCUUUCGGCGGGGGAGAUAAUGACGGUACCCGCAGAAGAAGCCCCGGCUAACUUCGUGCCAGCAGCCGCGGUAAUACGAAGGGGGCUAGCGUUGCUCGGAAUCACUGGGCGUAAAGCGCACGUAGGCGGCUUUCUAAGUCGGUGGUGAAAUCCUGGAGCUCAACUCCAGAACUGCCUCCGAUACUGGAGAGCUCGAGUCCGGGAGAGGUGAGUGGAACUGCGAGUGUAGAGGUGAAAUUCGUAGAUAUUCGCAAGAACACCAGUGGCGAAGGCGGCUCACUGGCCCGGUACUGACGCUGAGGUGCGAAAGCGUAGGGAGCAAACA
rnacentral:rRNA from 1 species